rnacentral:rRNA from 1 species
GAUGAACGCUGGCGGCGUGCCUAAUACAUGCAAGUCGAGCGAAUGGAUUAAGAGCUUGCUCUUAUGAAGUUAGCGGCGGACGGGUGAGUAACACGUGGGUAACCUGCCCAUAAGACUGGGAUAACUCCGGGAAACCGGGGCUAAUACCGGAUAACAUUUUGAACCGCAUGGUUCGACAUUGAAAGGCGGCUUCGGCUGUCACUUAUGGAUGGACCCGCGUCGCAUUAGCUAGUUGGUGAGGUAACGGCUCACCAAGGCAACGAUGCGUAGCCGACCUGAGAGGGUGAUCGGCCACACUGGGACUGAGACACGGCCCAGACUCCUACGGGAGGCAGCAGUAGGGAAUCUUCCGCAAUGGACGAAAGUCUGACGGAGCAACGCCGCGUGAGUGAUGAAGGCUUUCGGGUCGUAAAACUCUGUUGUUAAGGAAGAACAAGUGCUAGUUGAAUAAACUGGCACCUUGACGGUACCUAACCAGAAAGCCACGGCUAACUACGUGCCAGCCGCCGCAGUAA